CUAUGAAAUUAUCUACUUAGCAGGUUUACCUGCCUGCUCAAGUUCUUCUACCUAGAAUGAAAUAAAGCAAUAAUUGCUUCUAAUCCCUUUCCUUUCUGAAAAUAGGUGGGGGGGACGUUGUGAUCAGUGCUCUUAGACUCUACUGAGCUUUCUUAUGAUUUCCCUUGACCUCCAUAAAGGACAGAUUUGGAAGCAGUUACAAAAGGAACGACAGCUGGAAAGAGUUGGUGGCAGAUGGAGUCCUUAAGCAUGGCGGGGAAGCCCAAGCUUCACUACUUCAAUGGCCGAGGCAGAAUGGAGUCCAUCCGGUGGCUCUUGGCUGCAGCAGGGGUAGAGUUUGAAGAAGAACUUUUUGAAACACGUGAAGAAUUUGAGAAAUUAAUCCAAGGAUUGACAUGUAUGUAGAGGCCUUGAAGGAUCUGAGUGACAUGAUUAUGUUUUUUCCACUCUCUCUGCCUGGAGAGAAGGCGAUGAAUCUUGAAUACAUCCUUGAAAGAGCCACUACAAGGUUCUUCCCUGUCUAUGAGAAGGAGUUCAAGGCCAGAAUCAGCUGCAUUCCCACAAUUCACAAAUUUCUCCAGCCUGGAAGCCAAAGGAAGCCUCCACUAGAUGAAGGCUCCAUUGAGACCAUGAAGAACAUAUUCAAAUUUGAACGUGGCAUGUUUCUUAAAAACAUGGGUACUAUAGUAGCUGAGUAUUAACAAAAGAAGAGGUCUAAAGGCCUCGGCACAUCUCACUUCACAUUUGUAGCAGUACCCACAAAGGUAUCAUAAGGUCACUUUGAUAAAGAUAAGCAAAAGGAAAUAAACUACCUAAUACUGGCCUGUAAAUCAGACAACACUUUUUCUGUUUUAUAAAACAGUAAAACACCAAUCCAUCAGAAUCAUCUAAAUAAAGAUUCUUCUGCAUUCUACUUAUUGCAAAAGAGUACAAUCCUGAGUAAGCCAAUGGGUAUUGAAGACUUCUUUAAAAAAGGAAAAGCCCCACAUAUAUACCAGCCAUCACGCAUUUCCACAUCCUUUUGGGAAAAGUCCAGAACAGAGCAUAGCUUCAAACUAGUUUCUUAACGUUCAACCACUAAAGUCUUUUACAGAUAGAGCAUAUACUUUUAUCAUCAAUUUCACACUUAGUUUCUACUUUAGUAUCAUAAUCAUACUUUGAGUGUAAACUGUUGUCAGUCCAAAUCUGAAGGGUCUUCUCAGUCAUCUCUAUAGUCAUCAAAUACACACAGAGCACCCCAGUGAUAACCACUUUUUCCAACCUUCUUUUGGUAACAACCUCUUUGCACCAUUAGGAUAAGUGGGAUUUUUUUUUUUUUAAGUAGAAUAUUUUUAUUUGGUUAAACUCGUAGGCCCCUUCCUGUCUUCCUCCCUCCUUCCCUCCCUUUCCUGAAUUACUUAUCACUGGAAGUCUAAUAACUUCCUCGAAAGUCAGUGGGGAAAGGUAACUGAACACAAGCAUAUCAACUCUGCUCUUCUCAGCUGGGGCUCCACUCACCAUCUCAUGUAAAGAGUGGGUUUGAAAUCUGACACCCCUGAGUAAAGACAACAGGAUCAAAACUGCGGGCUUUGAGAGCUUUAAGGGACCCGGUCAACCAUUUAGUCCAAAUUCCUCCUUAAGGAUGAGAAACUGAGACACAGAGAGAGGAAAGACCUUCCAAAGAACAUGCAACCAGUCAGUGGGAGAACUGGGCUGGAACUCAGGUCUCUUGAUGUUCAGUCUGGGGCCUAAAAGUAAGUGCCCUGGACAUGAAGUCAUAACUAUUUCUAAAAAUGAAGUAGUAACUCGGGGACAAAAUCAUUUUUGUUUCAGAAUUAUUACUGUUUCAGUGAGAGAGAGUAUCUGCUCCUGAGGAGGAGUUCUGGCUUAAAAAAAAAAACAAAUACCUCCUUUCCAACCACUUGCAUUA